rnacentral:lncRNA from 1 species
CUGUUAAUAUCCUAGAUAUUUGAGCAUGACUGAAGCCCCAGAAGAAAAAGUUAAUGAGGUCAGGCAAUAUGUAACAGGGUUAGAUGCCUUACAGAAAGGCCAGUCUGAUGCUUUAGGGGACGUCUACAUAUCUGUGGCAACCCCAGAAUGCUGGAGAUGUCAAGGGUGUGAGAUGUCUCCCAAGGAGAGCUAGCUGCACACACUGAGUAGAAUAAGCCCAAGAGAGUGCCCAUCUGUGCUGUUGAUAGCAGGGCCAGAGGAAUGAUGCUAACCACGUCCACUGGAGCUCAAAUGGUUACACCUAUCUCUGGACAUAGUUCAAUUGGACAAACUCAGAAGUUGGGGAGAUCACCAGGACACUUUGCUUGAGUCAUCAGCAAUAUC